rnacentral:lncRNA from 1 species
UUCCGAUCAACUCAAAACCUGCUACCGGGUGAACAAAUACCUGCAUCUGCACACGAGGUGUAGGGAGUAAAGUGAGUACUUUAACUCAGUGAGUAACAAAGGUAAAUAAUAACUGAGCAUUAAGAAAUCACGUAAAGCAAACCAUCAUGCUGCAUAGAAGCAGUGUAAACCCCUUUGAGAAAACCGGCAAAGCUGCAAAAUCUUUAGAAAACAUCUUAACGCAGUUUUGAACUCUUUUGAAAGUGACUUUUUCCAAUAGUUAUGCAAUUAAAUGCAAACAAAUAGUGCAGAUAAGCACAGGAAUCUGCCUCUCGAGCACAACAUUCACUCAGCAGAGAAUGCAAGGCAAUCAGGUCGACACCACAUGAAAUAGCACAACAACAGAUAAUGGCAGACAAAUAAAUAAGUAAACGCAUAAAACAGUACUGGUACCACUGCGGCGUGCAACCCGAUAUAUAUACCGCUGCGGCGUGCAGCCCGAUCCAUUUAUCAUCGACGAUUCACUAGGGGUGUGCAGACUCCGGGAGGGCCUCUAACAGCCCGAGCGCAAUAUCAAGCCAUCUCGUGGCCGCAAAUCUAGGACCUCGACCUUAUAUCAGUAUCAGUAUCUUAAUGCUGUAGUGUAUAGCCCGAUCCAAAAGUAUCAUUACAACACCGGUCCUCAGCUUUACUCAGUCAAAAAUCACAUAAGCCUCUCAGGCAACAGUAAAAUAUGAUGCUCGGCCCAAAAAUAUUGUUGGAAAUAUCAUUUCAAGUGUUAAAGCAAAGUAUACUUGGCUGAGUUUUGAAAACAAUGGAGAAUACAUGACUGAGUUCAAGUAUAAAAUCAAAACAGUAAGGAAAUAUCAACAGUCAUCCCGAAAGGGGUUAAAAUAUCGGGCAUGAAGCCCAAAUAUGGAAGUCACCCUAAGUCAUGAUGAUAACAAAUAAGUUUCAGUCAAAUACACGGUAAAAUCAUCAUUCGGGACGAACCAAGUCGCAAUCCUCAAUGGUGCUCUACCACAUGCUCGCUUAUCGUCGUGUAAGUCACCUAAAUAUAGCACUUACGAUGUGCAAUCUACGGUCUCAAAUCCUCAGAAUAUCAUUUACAAUCAUUACUCACCUCGAACCGGUAAAAUCUCUGUCUCGCGACGCUUUUGCCCCUUAAUUCAGCCUCCAUACACGUCGAAUCUAUCCAAAAUCAGAGCUGAUGCAUCACAAUAUGCUAAGGGAGCAAAUUCCAAGCGAAAACAAUCAAUAACGGGCAUAAAUCCCAAAAUUACCUAAACCCGAGCCCCGGGCCCACUUCUCAAAACUCAGAAAUUUUUAUAUUAUCGGUUCCUUAUCUCGCCAUGAGUCUAUGCAUAUGAAGAACACCAAAUUCGAGUCCAAAUGACCCCUCUAGUUCCAAUUUAUAAUCUCAAAAUCCCAAGCCCUAGCUCUUCCAUUGUUUUACUAAAUUUCCAUGAAUUUCAAGGUAAAUUUCAUAUGAUAAUUACGUCUUUAGUUCAUAAAAUUUACCUCCAAUCAAUCCUCUUUGAAUCCCUCUUUAGUUUCUCCCAAAGAGCUCUCAAUAUCUUCCAUAAUGGAGGAAAAAUGACUUAAGCUCGCAGAAUAAAAUGUUUAAAACCGUCUGCCCUACUAGAGGACUUUCUUCUAUGCGAACGCGGUCAAACCCUCACGUUCACGAUUAAAAAACUUACCCUUCACGAACACUUGUGUACACUUGCGAACGUGAAGCUUUGAGCCUCUGAACCUACACGAACGCGAUGCCUUAUACGCAAAUGCGAAGAACAAAAUAUGCUGGCACUAGAUCCUUUUAUGUGAACGCAGGCUUCACCACACGAACGAGAAGCCUCCACUUGAUAUACUAUGCGAACGCGACCCUACGGCUGUGAACGCGAAGAGAAAAAGCAGGCCACCCAAAUUCCUUUUACGCGAACGCAACCCCCGGCACGCGAACACGAAGCCAAAUUAUGCCUGCACUUCUGCUGCAUUUUCUGCUAUCUUUUCCAAGUUCCAAACUUCUCGUUAGCCAUCCGAAAUCACCCUGAGGUCCCCGGGACCUCAACGAAAAGCACCAACGCAUCCUAAAACAUCAUUCAAACUUGUUCCAAUCAUCAAAACACCUCAAACAACACCAAAACCAUCAAAUUACAUCGAAUUCAAGCAUAAGUUCUUUUAAAACCUCUGAAAUAUGCCUUUGAUAAAAAACGCGACCAAACGACGUCCGGAUGAUUUGAAAUUUUGCACACACAUCUUAAGAAAAAUAACUAAGCUAAUGCAGAUCAAAAUCUCCGAACAACCGAAAUUCACCAAAAUACUAACUUCACAAUUCAAGCUAAAUUCCAUAACGUACCUCCAAAAUCAAUUCUGAUCACACUUCUAAAUCAUAAAUCACCAGACGAAUCUAACCAAAUCAUAAGAAAUUCAAUAUGGGCUCAUAUACAAAUAAGUCAACUCUUGGUCAGACCUUUCAAAUUCCAAGCUUUCAACUGAAACUGUUUUUCCAAAUUUAUUCUGAUUUUUCAUGAAAUCAAAACCAACAAUCUAUAUCAGCCAUGAUAUAUUACAUGGGGCAAGUCGUACCCGACAACAGGCGAUCAAAGCGCAAAAUCUCAAAACGACUGAUCGGGUCGUUACACCAUGUCACUUUUUUUUAAAAAUAAUUUUCCUUUUAAAAUACUUUAGACUCCAAAACUAAGGCUGCGCUAGAGAUUAGAGUAAAGGAGUUCAUUUGACUCAGGGAGAAUGUGUUAGGCAUUCUCCAUGUCCUGUAACUAGUACGGUUGCGUACUCGAUCAAGUUGGCUUUUAAAAUAUUCAAUUGAGGUAGAACACACAAAAAUAGAAUAAACAUACAAAAGGCUAAAGGUCGUCCCCACCUAAAAAGAUAAAAAUAAAUAAAAGAAAAUAUUAAUGUUCUAUUCUACCCUUCCUCACAUCAUCCAAUUUCUGGCUUUCAUUUACAUGUACUUCGGGACAUAACCCGGAUAAAAUAUAUACAAAUCUUUGGGGCAUUCCUAAUUAAAUUUAACUAAGGGAACGGCCUUGCGCUUCAAAACUAACAAAAAUCCUAAAGUUUGCCUACCCAGGUGAUGACAACCUAAACAUGAUCCUAACGAGUAAAGUAAUAAAAUUAUACAAACGAAAAAUCCAUUUUUAGAGUCCAACCUAUUUAAUUUAAGCGCGACAUCCUCAUUCAUUAACUAAUUCAUUUCAAACUUCUGUCUCUUAGUGAUUAAUUGAAAUAAGCAAUUAAACUCAUCUAACCAUUAAAUUCGUCAGAAACGGAAGCUAACUAGUUGAUAAGAACAAAUAGAGCAUCAAAUAGCAAUAAGUCAUUGAAACAGAGCAAUGAAAAAUUAACCUUCAGCCAAAUAGAGCAACAACAAAAUGAUAACACAAUGGAAGCAAAAUAUUAAGCAAAACAACAUAAAGAAGAAAUAUACCCCAAAAAUAUAGAACCUCAUCCGACGUCACUCGAAUCGGAAUCAAUCUCGACGUAAAUUGAAUUGGCAUCGAAACUGUAACUAAGCGCCAAUGAUUCAAAACGGCAAAAAGUAAAUCAAAUUUGCCGACGAACUCGAAUUUAGCUCAAUAAUCUGGAAAAAAUGAGAAUGGAGAUUGAUUCAAAUGGAAUCACUUUUCUUAUAUCCAUAGUGAUAGCUCCAGAUAACAACGGUUGGAAGCAAAUACAAAGCUGACUAAAAACUAGACGAUGAAGAUCAGAACCAAAAUGCAAAACUGACUUUGAUCAAACAGAGAAAUCAAACUUCUUAACUAGGUCGAGGGAUGGCCAUUGGACGUUGAUGUUUGGUCGUCAACAGAAUUAGGGUGGAACUCGACGACUGACCUCUUGGGUUGAGGUGUGUCUUUGGGUAGUGAGGGUGGUUGUUAGGCUACUAAGGUUUUUGUUUUAGUUUCUUGGUGUAAGAAAAAAAGGGGAUGGCUAGUGGGUUCUAGGGUUUUUGUUGAGUCCUAGCUGAAGAAGGAGAAGAAGGCAGCCAUGGUUGUUGAUGGAGCUCGUUUUGGAGUUAGAGGCUGAGAGGGGUGGUCGAGUUCUAUCACUGAUGUUUGGAGAAGAUGGAAGAGGCGGCUUGAGGUGAUGGGAUCUCCGACGAGUUUGGUGGUUUCCAUGUGGGGUGGGUGGCGCUGCUUGUGGUCUAGGGGUUCUAGGGUCAGUUGUUGUAGAGAUAAAGAAGAAGCCAAAUCUGAUUGGGAGGGGGGAUCUGUAUUGAUAAGAGGAAGGGUUUUAAAC